rnacentral:lncRNA from 1 species
AUGCAAUCCACUCCACACACACAGCAGAGAAACAAUCAAAUACAAACACCACACACACACACCAGCAGAAGAAACAAUCAAAUACAACACCACACACACAGCAGAGAACAAUCAAUACACACACACACACCACACCAGCAGAGAGAACAAUCAAAUACAACACACACCCAGCAGGAAACAAUCAAAUACAACACACACACCACAGCGAGAAAGACACAAUCAAUACAACAAAAAACACAACACACAAGCAGAGAAACAGUCAAAUACAACACACACACCACACAGCAGAGAAACAUCAACUACAAACACACACACACACGACAGAGAAACAGUCAAAUACCAAACACACACACAACACAGCAGCGAGAAACAGUCAAAUACAAAACACACACACACACAGCAGAGAAACAACAAAUCCACAAACAACACACACAGCAGAGAGAGAAACAACAAAUACAAACACACAACCACAGCAGAGAGAAACAGUCAAUACAACACACACACACACACACACAGCCGAAGAAACAGUCAAAUACAACACACACAACCAAGCAAGAGAAACAUCACACAAACACAAACACAAAAACACACACACAAACAGCAGAGAAAACAAUACAACACACACACACACAGCAGAGAAGAAAGUCAAAUACAAAACACACACCACACACAGCAGGAAACAAUCAAAUACAACAACCACACACACAGCAGAGAAACAAUCAAAUACAACAACACCACUACCAGCCAGAGAAAAGUCAAAUACAAACACCAACACACAGCAGAGAAACAGUCAAAUACAAACACACACACAACAGACGAAGAAACAAUCAAAUCAACACACACACACACGCAGAGAACGCACACAAUCAAUACAACACACACACCCACAGCAGAGAACUAGUCAAAUCAACACCACACACACAGCAGAGAAACAGUCAAAUACAACACACACACACAGCAGAGAAACAGUCAAAUACAACACACACACACAGCAGAGAAACAGUCAAAUACACACACACACAAACACACACAGCAGAGAAAUAG